GAACAUCGGCCUGAACAAUGUUGCUCUGUUUACUUAGCUUUCUAUCUACAUUUGGAGCUGGCCGCUGUGGAGAUGUCAUCACUCCUGUCCAAACUGAGGUGUAUGGGAAGAGUGGGGAUAAAAUAACACUGUCUUGCAACUACUCCACAGCCCUUUCUUUGUAUUGGUAUCGUCAUUAUCCAAGAUCAACUCUAGGUUUCCUUCUUCUGAUACUACAAAACAGCGGGGAGUCUGAAACCAUGCAGCCUGGAAUGUCCGUGAAAUUAAAUGAAAAGAAAACCUCUGUGGAUCUGGAGAUCUCCUCUGCGAAAGUAACAGACUCGGCAGUUUACUACUGUGCGUUGAAGCCCACAGUGUGA